UUUCUUAGUUUGAUGCGUUUGGCUCCUUUUGUGAUGGUAUGAACACAUGUAGUAUUGAAAGCUAUCAUACGUUUUACAGUCUAGCCUUCCGGAAUAUUAGUUUAUUUGGGGUCUAAUGAAGUAACGGCUUAUCGCACUAAAACGAUAAACAUGUUUCUUCACGACCCUUUAUGGUCUAAACAUGUUUACAUUCAAAACACUUCACAGCUAAACGUGUUUCCUGACAAAACACUUCAGAACUAAACAUGUUUCCAGAUACAACACUUUACAACUAAACAUGUUUACAGUCUAAGCACAUUUUAGCAAAACAUGUUUCUAGUCUAAAC
rnacentral:lncRNA from 1 species